GUUGUAUGGUUAAGUGACUAAGCGUACACGGUGGAUGCCUUGGCAGUUGGAGGCGAUGAAGGACGUAUUAACUUGCGAUAAGCCUAGUCAAGCUAGUAAAAAGCACUUGAGACUAGGAUUUCCGAAUGGGGAAACCCACCUGCUUGCAGGUAUCGUUAACUGAAUACAUAGGUUAACGAGGCGAACGCGGAGAACUGAAACAUCUAAGUACCCGUAGGAAAAGAAAUCAACCGAGAUUCCGAAAGUAGCGGCGAGCGAAAUCGGAACAGCCCUUAAGCUUAAUUGGUGUUAAUGGAAGGCUCUGGAAAGUGCCACGAUACAGGGUGAUAGUCCCGUACAUGAAAAUCCCUUUUAAGUGAAAUCGAGUAGGUCGGAGCACGUGAAACUUUGACUGAAUAUAGGUGGACCAUCAUCUAAGGCUAAAUACUCCCAACUGACCGAUAGUGAACCAGUACCGUGAGGGAAAGGCGAAAAGAACCCCUGUGAGGGGAGUGAAAUAGAACCUGAAACCGUGUACGUACAAGCAGUAGGAGCCCACUUGUUGGGUGACUGCGUACCUUUUGUAUAAUGGGUCAGCGACUUAUAUUUUGUAGCGAGGUUAACCGAAUAGGGUAGCCGUAGGGAAACCGAGUCUUAACUGGGCGAUUAGUUGCAAGGUAUAGACCCGAAACCCGGUGAUCUAGCCAUGGGCAGGUUGAAGGUUGAGUAACAUCAACUGGAGGACCGAACCCACUAACGUUGAAAAGUUAGGGGAUGACCUGUGGCUAGGAGUGAAAGGCUAAUCAAACCGGGAGAUAGCUGGUUCUCCCCGAAAUCUAUUUAGGUAGAGCCUCGGACGAAUACUUACGGGGGUAGAGCACUGUUAAGGCUAGGGGGUCAUCCCGACUUACCAACCCUUUGCAAACUCCGAAUACCGUAAAGUAAUAUCCGGGAGACACACGGCGGGUGCUAACGUCCGUCGUGAAGAGGGAAACAACCCAGACCGCCAGCUAAGGUCCCAAAGUCAUAGUUAAGUGGGAAACGAUGUGGAAAGGCCCAGACAGCCAGGAGGUUGGCUUAGAAGCAGCCAUCCUUUAAAGAAAGCGUAAUAGCUCACUGGUCGAGUCGGUCUGCGCGGAAGAUGUAACGGGGCUAAACUAUGCACCGAAGCUGCGGAUUCAGAAUUUAUUCUGAGUGGUAGGGGAGCGUUCUGUAAGCGGUUGAAGGUGUACCGGGAGGUAUGCUGGACGUAUCAGAAGUGCGAAUGCUGACAUGAGUAACGAUAAUGCGGGUGAAAAACCCGCACGCCGGAAGACCAAGGGUUCCUAUCCCAUGUUAAUCAGGGUAGGGUAAGUCGACCCCUAAGGCGAGGCCGAAAGGCGUAGUCGAUGGGAAACGGAUUAAUAUUUCCGUACUUGGUAUAAUUGCGAUGGGGGGACGGAGCAGGCUAAGCAAGCAUGGCGUUGGUAGUCCAUGUGAAAGUGAGUAGGCUAGUGACUUAGGUAAAUCCGGGUUGCUGUUAGGCUGAGACACGAGACGAGUCACUAAGGUGAUGAAGUUGCUGAUGCCAUACUUCCAGGAAAAGCCUCUAAGCUUCAGAUUAUACCGAAUCGUACCCCAAACCGACACAGGUGGUCAGGUAGAGAAUACUAAGGCGCUUGAGAGAACUCGGGUGAAGGAACUAGGCAAAAUCGUACCGUAACUUCGGGAGAAGGUACGCUCCGAUUGGUGAUGGGAUUUACUCCCUAAGCUGAUUGGAGCCGCAGUGACCAGGUGGCUGGGACUGUUUAUUAAAAACACAGCACUGUGCAAAAUCGCAAGAUGACGUAUACGGUGUGACACCUGCCCGGUGCCGGAAGGUUAAUUGAUGGGGUUAUCUUCGGAGAAGCUCUUGAUCGAAGCCCCGGUAAACGGCGGCCGUAACUAUAACGGUCCUAAGGUAGCGAAAUUCCUUGUCGGGUAAGUUCCGACCUGCACGAAUGGUGUAACCAUGGCCACGCUGUCUCCACCCGAGACUCAGUGAAAUUGAAAUCGCAGUGAAGAUGCUGUGUACCCGCGGCUAGACGGAAAGACCCCGUGAACCUUUACUACAGCUUGGCACUGAACAUUGAACCUACAUGUGUAGGAUAGGUGGGAGACUU
rnacentral:rRNA from 1 species